AGAUGGGACCCUCUGGUUGCAGGAGAACAAGUUCAGGACUCCCACUGAUUCUACGUUAUGAUUGCUUGCUCUGUUGCCCAAGCUGGAGUGCAGUGGUGCGAUCUCGGCUCACCACAGCCUCUACCUCCUGGAUUCAAGUGAUUCUCCUGCCUCAGCUUCCUGAGUAGCUGGGACUACAGUUGCGUGUGACCAUGCCCGGCUAAUAUUUGUAUUUUUAGUAGAGAUGGGGUUUCCCCAUGUUGGCCAGGCUGGUCUCGAACUCCUGACCUUGUGAUCCACCUGCUUUGGCCUCCCGAAGUGCUGGGAUUACAGGCGUGAGCCACCGCGCCCAGCCAUACUAUGCCAUUUUAUAUCAGGGACUUAAGCAUCCUUAGAUUUUGGUACCUGCAAGGAGUCUUGAACCCACUAUAUGUAUACAUUGUACAAUGAUUAAAUAAAGUUAAUUAGCAUAUC